ncrna:unclassified sequences skipping-rope RNA
AGGACUAAAGGGUAGAAGGGUCAGCUACCGCCACAGAGAAGCUCUGGUAGGAGAUGUUGGGUUGACAGCCAGCUUAGUUCU